rnacentral:rRNA from 1 species
GACGAACGCUGGCGGCGUGCCUAAUACAUGCAAGUUGAGCGCUGAAGGUUGGUACUUGUACCAACUGGAUGAGCAGCGAACGGGUGAGUAACGCGUGGGGAAUCUGCCUUUGAGCGGGGGACAACAUUUGGAAACGAAUGCUAAUACCGCAUAAAAACUUUAAACACAAGUUUUAAGUUUGAAAGAUGCAAUUGCAUCACUCAAAGAUGAUCCCGCGUUGUAUUAGCUAGUUGGUGAGGUAAAGGCUCACCAAGGCGAUGAUACAUAGCCGACCUGAGAGGGUGAUCGGCCACAUUGGGACUGAGACACGGCCCAAACUCCUACGGGAGGCAGCAGUAGGGAAUCUUCGGCAAUGGACGAAAGUCUGACCGAGCAACGCCGCGUGAGUGAAGAAGGUUUUUCGGAUCGUAAAAACUCUGUUGGUAGAGAAAGAA